GUCCAUAAAGGUGCUGCCUUCCUCCAGAACAAACAACGGAAAUGCAUCAGGAGAGCUCGGCUGCAGACAGAAUGCACAUCAUGAAGCAGGAGCCACCCUGGGAUCCCUCAGAUGAAAGCUGAUUUCAAUGAACAUUGUGUUUCAAAGCCUGCUUCCUCUGGCCCUGUAAGGACUGCAGAAGGAACAUCCCACUUGCGUCUGCUGACACAAAAGAAUGCUGUGGCUGGGAGAUCUUAUCGAGCCUUCCUGUGCCACAGCAACAGAGCUCCAGUUGUGUCUCCUAAGAAUUGCUCAUUGUUUCGUGUGAGGACUAGCUCCUUUGGGUGGGAUCUGAUGGCAUCUCAUGGAGUUGGAGGUUUCCAGGAUAACUUGUGGAGACAGUGCUGUCCAUCUCUACUCCACUGACUAAGGUUUCUCUUUGAUGUUGAGUCCAGCUUUUGGAAGCCCUAUCCAAAGAAGCUUUCUUCUGUCACUUGCGAAAGUUUGAGCUGCUGUCAAAAGCAAGAAAGGAUGUGUCAGCAGCUCUGCGUGUGUGUCUGCCUUUGUCCUCACCAAGUCCAUCUACCACUGCUAACUGGCCAGCUGUGACAGGAGGCGCUUGGCUGACUUGUCUGAGAAGAACCAUCAGGCUAAGGG
rnacentral:lncRNA from 1 species